rnacentral:rRNA from 1 species
CGAUGUGGGAAGGCCCAGACAGCCAGGAUGUUGGCUUAGAAGCAGCCAUCUUUAAAUGA